UACGUAGGGCGCAAGCGUUGUCCGGAAUUAUUGGGCGUAAAGAGCUCGUAGGCGGUCUGUUACGUCUGCUGUGAAAACCCAGGGCUUAACCCUGGGCUUGCAGUGGAUACGGGCAGACUAGAGGCAGGUAGGGGAGAAUGGAAUUCCCGGUGUAGCGGUGAAAUGCGCAGAUAUCAGGAAGAACACCAAUGGCGAAAGCAGCUCUCUGGGACGGUACUGACGCUGAGACGCGAAAGCGUGGGGAGCGAACAGG
rnacentral:rRNA from 1 species